UAUUUUUUAUCUCCUAUUAUUUACCAGAUUAGUUGUCUAAUUUUUUCCCUUUUAUGAUGUUGUGAUGUUGCAGGUACAUAAUCUAGAAAUUUCCUCCACCAUCUUCAUGCGGUUUUCCUUGUGUGUGGAAACUCCCAUGGUAUUAUCAGAAAGUAUGACUUGAUGUGGUGCAGACAAUGCUUCCGCAGCAACACUAAGGAGAUUGGAUUAAUUAAGUGAACGAAAAGGCCGGUGCCUCCUUGCUAGCGGAUUUUGUUGAGCAAGCUGCCAUUAGAGAUAAAUGGAUCCCAAGUUGUUAUUUUCUUUGUAUUUUGAACAAUUUUGGCUGUUCUAAUUUACCAUUGAACUUGAAUUGGUUGAUGGUGCUAAAAUUUCUUGUAGAUUUGAACAAGAUACUUAAAUGAGCUUACAUUUCUUCAAAUUGUGAAUGGUUUAUGGAUGGUAGUACACAAUUCUUACAAUGAGGUGGAUGCUUGGUAAAGGUAGUUAUUUGGAUAUGAAAAUGAUAAUAAUGCAUAAUGUUUUCGUCCAAAAAGGUGAUAGUAGUAAUUAUUUUUUUGUUAAAUUUGGUUCGUGAUGAAAUGUAGUACUUAGUUUGCAUUAAUUAUGGUUGAUUCCAUCCAAAUUUGAGCUUGUUUGUAUGUAAUUUGCAGGUUGAUGGUGCUAAAAUUUCUUGUAGAUUUGAACAAGAUACUUAAAUGAGCUUACAUUUCUUCAAAUUGUGAAUGGUUUAUGGAUGCAUCAAAGGGAAUACCCACAACAAUACAUCAAGAUAUUACCUGAAAUACACUAAUAAGCAAACACUAUUUGGUUGGAAGAUAGAAAAAUCAAUUCCAAGUGCAGUACAUAAGUCCCGAUUGGCCUUUAUAUUAAGAAACUCAAUUGCAGAACUAUGUUAACAAAAUGGCACUUCUCACAUGUGCAGAAACAUCUCAUCAGAGCUCAACCUAAGCUUUUGCCUUUCUUGGAUUUCUUCUGGAGUUGGAAGCAAAAAUGGCCACCUGUGAAGAACAACUGGUGAGACAAAACGUGGUUAAAGUUUUGCCCAACACAAGGAUUCUCAAAUAUUAGAUUCUAAGCACCUGCUUGAAAUAGUGUCUUAUCGUAUUUUGGCAGCAAGUCUUGAUCAAAGCAUGUAAGCAGUGAAGCAAAUCAGAUGGUAGAUUGUUUAGCUAAUGUAUAGGAUGCUAACAACAAGAUAUCUUUUAUUAUGAUGUUAUGUCCCACCAUCUUUUAGUUGCAAGAUGACUGUUUGG